rnacentral:rRNA from 1 species
UUGACCUCGGAUCAGGUAGGAGUUACCCGCUGAACUUAAGCAUAUCAAUAAGCGGAGGAAAAGAAACCAACCGGGAUUGCCUCAGUAACGGCGAGUGAAGCGGCAAGAGCUCAAAUUUGAAAUCUGGCCCCCUCGGGGUCCGAGUUGUAAUUUGCAGAGGAUGCUUCGGGUGCGGUCCCCAUCUAAGUGCCCUGGAACGGGCCGUCAUAGAGGGUGAGAAUCCCGUCUGGGAUGGGCGGCCGCGCCCGUGUGAAGCUCCUUCGACGAGUCGAGUUGUUUGGGAAUGCAGCUCUAAGCGGGUGGUAAAUUUCAUCUAAAGCUAAAUACUGGCCGGAGACCGAUAGCGCACAAGUAGAGUGAUCGAAAGAUGAAAAGCACUUUGAAAAGAGAGUUAAACAGCACGUGAAAUUGUUGAAAGGGAAGCGUUGUCCACCAGACUCGCCCGGGGGGGUUCAGCCGGCACGUGUGCCGGUGUACUCCUCUCCGGGCGGGCCAGCAUCGGUUUGGGCGGCUGGUGAAAGGCCCCGGGAAUGUACCACCCUCCGGGGUGUCUUAUAGCCCGGGGUGCCAUACAGCCAGCCUGGACCGAGGCCCGCGCUCGGCGAGGAUGCGGC